AUAAACUGGAAGAACUGAAGACUUCCAAAAAGAAGAUACUGGAGGAAGUGAUGGAAACGGAGACGUACAAAAACGCCAAACUCAUCCUCGAGCGCUUCGAUCCUGAAGCGAAGAAGAAAGCUGAGCUGGAGUCGACUCCGGUGCGUCCACAGAUGACUCCCCGUCCGGGACAAGGUUCGACACACAUCAAUACACAACACAAAGAUACAACGCCACCUUUAACC